AGAAUCAUCGUUGGUGUUAUUCUGAAAUUUCCCUAGAGAUAUUAAACAUCCUUUUGUCUGUUAAAAAGGAAGGGAAGAGGAUAUCUCUUUUUUAAAUGAGAAAUAAAAAUUUGAAGAUUUGGAUUUCUUUCAGAAGAGGAAAUUCCAGGUGAAAUGAUUUAGAUGUACAAUUAUUUUUUGGUUGAAAUACGUUGAAUGAAAUUAUUAUUGAAUUGUUUCGUAAGUAAAAAUGAUUAUGUUUAGAAAGAUUGCUUGUUUAGGUAUAGGGAUUUUGAUAUUGUUAUCGUUUGCUCUAGAUUUUUGAAAGGGAAAUAUGGACAUGAUAUGUUUGAUUUAUGAGGGAUAUUCGUCUUAUUAUUAGUGGUCAGGCGUAUUUUCUACAAGUUCUUGGGAGAAUUUCAAGGGAAAUGAAUACCCAGGUGUAUACAUAAAUCUACAAUACGCUAUUAUUCGCUUUUUUAUUUCCUCGAUGAGCUAGAAAAUUUACUUAUUUAGGAUAUUAUGUUCAGAAUAUAGAAUCUCGAAUAUAACGUAAAAAAUAUAUCAUAAAGUAAAUUAUUUCACAUACAAAAAAAAAAAAAAUAAAAUAAAUUCAUAUUUAAAAAUUUCUUAAAAAAAAAAAAUCCUUCCUAUACACAAUCUUCAUAAAAUUGUACAAAUUAUAUUUCUUUCUACAUCCAUAUCAUUCGAUACAAUUUUAUCGAACCAUUUCCACAAAUCAACGAGUUCGUGCAAUGCAUCCUGAUAACGCACGACCUUCUUCUUGACAGAAUACGAAUAGAUAUUUGCAUAAUUACACGUUUUAUUGUACCCUUUUGGUCAUGAGGGUAAGAUCGAAUUUAUCUCAUUGGCCCUCACCUGUCCUGCACGAUGCGGGUCGGGACAACUGACCACCUGUACAGUCCCAGCAACAAAAAAAAAAAGGAACGACCUAGAAAUGUCUGUUAUUAAUGAGAGACUUCACAUUAACAGCUUAAUAAUUGACGAUCCUAUCUUUAGUGACUCUCACGCCCGAAAAUUCGUCACUUAAAUCGACCCAAAUCAAAUUAAAUCUUCAUUCUCUCGACGGUUAGUUUCACAAAACGUUUUACACCCUGUAUCGGUCCGAUCGGUCUCGGAAAUUUUAACGAGAUUUCGAAAGCGGCCCUCUCUGGUUAAACAAAGGUUGGACACGUUGUCAGAAAAGGAUCUGCGGAGGUAACAUUCUUGCGGCUGGUGCGAGCCGCAUCUCGAAGAUCGAGGUUGCGUUCUCGUCGUUCAAAAACGACGAUCCCGCAGGUCGUAGCAGCCGCGCGAAACAAUAGAAAAGCCAUAACUUUCUCCGCACGGCCAUAGUCGUUACAUCCUGUGUUUGGAGUGGCCGCGAGACGCGGAAAAAUCGCCCGUAUCUUGUCCUGUUUUAUUUCUCAAAAAAAGAAGAAAAAAAAAAAGAAAAGAAAAAAGAAAAA